rnacentral:lncRNA from 1 species
UCAAGUUUAUGUUGUGGAUCACAUAUAUUAACUGAAUAUUGUAAUGAAAAUACCUUUCACAUUUUCGCAGCCAAGAUUUUGGAUUUCCUUCUUCAAAGUAAGGGCAGUCGAUUUUGGAGUUGAAAUUGCUCAAGUGGAAUCAUCCCACAGGAACAUCAUGAUUCUUCAUCAUUCGACCUCUAUUCCCAGAUCCUUCUAUUGUAUGAGCAGCUGUUGGAGCACUUCCUAGAAGUCCCUCCUUGCUUCGCGGAGAACUUGUCCAUCAAGAGAUCAAAUUGAUGAUUCAGUUCAUCCAUUUUAGAGUCGUUGGAUUCCAGCUUUUUACUAGUUUCUGUCAUGUAAUUUUGUAAUUGAUUCUCUAAUUUUUUUGACACUUUCUUCUAUAACUUUGGAUCUGGUUUCUGGUGUUGUCAUGGUGCCAGAACUUGCGGUGAUACUAACUUAUAAUAGACUAGUAAUUUUAUCUCAAGAAUGAAAAGAAUUAAAGAAAUGAGAAUGAGGGACUAAAGCUUUAUUGAUCACUGUCAAAAAAAUUGAGAUUACAAUGAAUUUAUCAAACUAAGU